rnacentral:rRNA from 1 species
GCUUACGGCCAUACCACCCUGAGAACGCCCGAUCUCGUCCGAUCUCGGAAGCUAAGCAGGGUCCGGCCUGGUUAGUACUUGGAUGGGAGACCGCCUGGGAAUACCAGGUGCUGUAAGCU